rnacentral:rRNA from 1 species
UCAGAUUGAACGCUGGCGGCAGGCCUAACACAUGCAAGUCGAGCGGUAACAUUUCUAGCUUGCUAGAAGAUGACGAGCGGCGGACGGGUGAGUAAUACUUGGGGAUCUGCCUGAUGGCGGGGGACAACCACUGGAAACGGUGGCUAAUACCGCAUAAUGCCUACGGGCCAAAGUGUGGGACCUUCGGGCCACAUGCCAUCAGAUGAACCCAAGCGAGAUUAGCUAGUUGGUGAGGUAACGGCUCACCAAGGUGACGAUCUCUAGCUGGUCUGAGAGGAUGAUCAGCCACACUGGGACUGAGACACGGCCCAGACUCCUACGGGAGGCAGCAGUGGGGAAUAUUGGACAAUGGGCGCAAGCCUGAUCCAGCCAUGCCGCGUGUGUGAAGAAGGCCUUCGGGUUGUAAAGCACUUUCAGUGGUGAGGAAGGCCUUGUAGUUAAUAGCUGCAAGGAUUGACGUUAGCCACAGAAGAAGCACCGGCUAACUCCGUGCCAGCAGCCGCGGUAAUACGGAGGGUGCGAGCGUUAAUCGGAAUUACUGGGCGUAAAGCGCACGUAGGCGGUUUGUUAAGCAAGAUGUGAAAGCCCAGGGCUCAACCUUGGAAUAGCAUUUUGAACUGGCAAGCUAGAGUUUUGAAGAGGGUGGUAGAAUUUCCAGUGUAGC